ensembl:lncRNA novel transcript, antisense to CBLN1
CCCACGAGGUGAAAAUUCCCAAGAACCCCAUGUCUAACCUAACUCCCUCUCUAUGUCCUGUUGCUUGAGCCAUUCUCAUUAGGCUGCCUGUUCGGAGUUCAUUAUCUCCUAAUUUUUCAUCCAGGAAUUGAUGAAGAAUCACCUACUGCCUCUCCCACACACUGUUUAUUCUUUCAUUUGAUGAUAUCUGUUAAGUGCCCUGAGAUAUGUAACCUCCACUUCCCUCCCAUAUAAGUGAGAUUUCACGUUGAUUACUUCCUUGGCUUUCCUCAUCCCUUAUCCACAUAGCAUGUGUUCAAAAUAAUGAAUAUUAAUUUAAUGUUAAUAGAUAUGUGCUUUCCUGAAUUGUGAGGAUUAAAUGAAAUCAUGUAUAUAGGGAGGAAAAUCCAUUAGAAACCUCAAAAGCAGUUAUGUUUAUUUUUGCUAUUGUCACAUUGUUAGAGUCAGAAUUCUUUUAGCUGCAAGUGACAAAACCAACUCAAACUGGCUUAAGGACUUUAUUGGUUGAUGCAAAAAGCCUCGGGUUAGGUCUUGCCAUUUAAGGUAGGGCUGGAUCCAUCAAUCCGGGUUACCAGGAUCUGUUUUCUAGUUGUGGCUUCAUUUUCAGACAAGUUGUUUCCAUAUGAUAGCCUCAUAGAAGGUACUACCAGCUUAGUCCUAGCAAGAAAAAAGAGUACUUACUCUUCAAUAUUUGCAGCAGAAGUCCCAGGUCUGUUCUUAUGAGGGCAGUUUGAGUCACUUGCUCUUCUCUGAACGUGGAGAAGGCACUGUUUAGAUGAUGGAGGUUGGAUUCAGGUGCAUCCCCUGGAAUGGGGUUUGGCAUUAGCUUCACGUGGUCUAGAAUAAAGGGGUUCUCCAAAGGAAAAUUAGGGUAGGAAUGCUGAGUAAGCAGAACAAACAGAUGUCUACUUUAGUCCUUCCCAAAGGGUGAGCUGCAAUACAUUGCAGACUAUCAGAAUGGUGAUGAACACGGAUGCAGUAGCCAAGAAAAUAGAUGUGUGUUUGUCGUGGUCUUUUUCAGUCUUCAAGAUCUCAGUUAAACAUGAAGUCAACCACUCACUAUGAUGUUAUUUGAGGUUUAGCUUUGAAGUGGAAAUGUACCACAAAUAGUAGAGCCAGAUAAAUACAAAUAAAUAAUUUUAACAGUCCAUUCUAAAAGAUUUCUUUGGUAAUAUUCUGUUGGAAUUGAUUUCUAUCUUUUCAUUUGUUAGGUUCCUGGAAAGUGAAAAUUUCAUUUCUUUGUGGACAGGUACCUAAAAUGUCUCAUUAUUCAUCAAUUAAUGAAAAACAAAUGAAAAUUUGAGAGAGAUAUUCUGAAGAAUAAAAGGAUCAAGUUGGGUCAUUUCUAAAAUCUCAGAGACCUAAUAGGAUGGGGUCUUAGAGAAACAUCUUUUGAGCCACAGACUUCUUUGUUACCAGAAGGAAAAUGAAAGAAGAAAUUUAAAUACCACUUGAAGAGAGCUGAUCGCCACCAACUGGCCUCUGGGUGGAUUUGGCCAAUGGAAGCACCUGUAGAGGGAAGAGAGUGAGGUUAGGAUAUUUCUUCCUGCUGUCUCCGUGCUUCCCUGCAGAGAGUGUGAAGAAAUGACCCUGAAAAGCCUCUGGCAGAGGAUUCUUCUUUCAGGAUGGUGUCGCCUCCUCAGCAGCCCAUCCUCCUCCCCUGGACUCAAGCUCUCAUUCCAGUAACACUCCUUCCUCCUUCUCCAUCUUCAGGGGGAGGUUUGCCAGUCGGUGGGUUCUAAGCAUAUCUCGCUGAUUCCCCCCAACCCUGCCGACACCUCUGUAGGUCGUCCCUUCAUUAAAAUCUCUCCAUUUGAACUAUCUGAGUUUAAUUCCAUUUCCUCCUGGUAUCUCAGUGAUACACGGUAUCAGUACAAAAAUCUCGCUUCACCUUCAGAACCAACAGAUUUGAGACAUUUUAUCCUCUGUGGAACCAUUAGUUAUUUUGUCAUUGGUUGUAUCAGAAAAAAAAAUCAGGAAUGCAAAUCCUUCUUUAUUACAGAUUCAGAUUUGCAUAUUACCAAUGUUAUAUAUUUUAAACAAAACUAUUCAUCAUAAGUUUUAAAAAUUAACUACUGGAGUAGUUAAUGAAUCUGAAUGUAAUUAUGUAGCUUUCAUAAUAUUAAAGUAAAAAUACUAAAAGAAGUAUUUCUUAAAGAAGCAAAUGCUCAAUCUCCAAGUAAAUUUUAUUCUAUGCUCUUCCGGUAUAAGAAUAUGUUAAUAUCUUGAAAAAUAUCAUAUUAUUUUGUGAACUCAUAAAGCUAUUUUGAGUUUUUGUAAAAUGAAAACCUUACCAAAAUGUAUUUUAUUGUUGGAAAGCUUGACCGUUACUGCUGUUUAAUUUUUUGAGCUUGUAAACUUUAUUUGUGCAUGUUUUCAACAAAGAAGGAUUUUAUUGUUAUUACAUAAAACAGGUGAUUUCUAGAUUUUAAAAUCACAAAUUGAAAGCAAGGCACAAUAAUAUAUAUUUCAAGAUAUAGGUACUUAGGAGGCAUCCUUUUAGUCAUCUGUUCAAUGUAGCCAUCUAUUUUACACCUACUGUCUACUAUUGUUUGAGGUCCUUGCCAAAGUAUUGCAGGCUAGUUAGGAAACAUAAAACAAUUAGAAAGUAAUCUAUGACAAGUAAGCUAUCUAUAAAUGGCAAUGAAGGGUAGAACAAAUUCAAUGAAAAUAUCUAUUUAAUCCUAGUGUUUACUGGUCUAGAAGAAUAGGCUGAGUAAAUUAGUAUUUCUCUGGCUGUUGUGGUAACACAUUGCAUGCUAUAACAGUUUUAAGUAAUUACAGGUGCAUUGAAAUUUAUCUAUGGCUUUGUCAUCAUAUUCUAAAAUGUCAUGAGUACUUUUUUCUGACCUCAAUUACUAUGAAAUUGGUUUCCAAUAUUUAAUUAACCAAGAAUAUCAAGUCUAUAGGGUAUUAUUAAGGUGAGACUUCUGUAGCCUUUUCAAUAAAGACCAGAAUUUUGGAGUGCCUUGAACCUUAAUCAUUGAUCUUUAAUUCUUAUUAAGUCAACUGCCCACCUUUUAAAGACUGAGGCCCAGGAAGAGUAAGUUUCUCUGAGACAAUGCAUACAGUACAGUGCUUCUUGGGUAUUGGCUCUAAGACCAGAUGCAAAGAAAGGCUAAAAUCCCAUUUCAUUGUUCAUUAGGUGAGAACCCUUUGUUAAGCUGUGUAACCUCUGUGCAUAGUUUCCUCAUCAGCAAAGUCAGAAAAAGUAUGUACCUGAAGGACUGAUUGUAAGGCUGGGAUGAGAGAAUCCAUGUGAUCAGCCCUCACCAACAGGUGCUGCCCAGUUCAUGAGUGCUGCUGCUGUCCUGCCCAAGUACCCAGCUUGCAGAGUGCCAGAGUUAGAGUCCCAGGGGUGUUCUCCACAGCUGCAUGCUUGAUCCAGGCCUAUCAGGUGUUAUUUGUUGACGGAACCAGGCAUCAUCAGCAAACAAAACUGACAAAGCUUCCUGCCCUCUGUGGAAGGCAUCUGAGGAAGAGACUGGAUUUUGUAGCAACAUGUUAUUCUCAUUAUAAACUUUAUCAUUGGAAUACUAAAGCCAAAUCAUCCCCCAUCUCCUUGAUCAGGAUACCCACUUAAUCUAGGCAGCUACACAAUUGUGAGAGCCUUUGUUUUUUUCUGCUGAAACAUCCUUAAAAAGAUACCUCACAACCCAAGAUUUGGCUUUUCUUAAAUACGAUUUUUAAUUUUUUUCAUUUCUAUCUAGAGAUUUAAUUGGAAAUGGAAAAUCAUCAAUUUUCCAAUUAAAUGUCUGUUCCAAUCAACAUUAUACCUUUUAGGUUGUCAUUGUCAUUUUUAAGUUUAAGCAACUUUAAGGAUUUUGAAUCUGGCUGCCUGUAAAUUAAAGGUGAAAGUAAUCAUUGUGUUGGAUUGGAACAUUUUGUCAAUUGAGAGUGGUUUCCUUGUUCUUAGUGUAUGAAAAGUUUAUUUUUCUAAUGU